UGUCGGGUAAGUUCCGACCUGCACGAAUGGCGUAACGAUGGCCACACUGUCUCCACCCGAGACUCAGUGAAAUUGAAAUCGCUGUUAAGAUGCAGUGUACCCGCGGCUAGACGGAAAGACCCCGUGAACCUUUACUAUAGCUUCACAUUGACAUUGGGUAACUGAUGUGUAGGAUAGGUGGGAGACUUUGAUCCUGCGUCGCUAGGCGUAGGUUAGUCACUGUUGAAAUACCACCCUUCGGUUAUCUGAUGUCUAACUACUAGGACAGUGUGUGGUGGGUAGUUUGACUGGGGUGGUCGCCUCC
rnacentral:rRNA from 1 species